rnacentral:rRNA from 1 species
UACAGAGGCAGCAAGCGUUGUUCGGAGUUACUGGGCGUAAAGGGUGUGUAGGCGGUCCUCUAAGUUUGGUGUGGAAUCUCCCGGCUCAACUGGGAGGGUGCGCCGAAUACUGAAGGACUAGAGUACGGGAGAGGAGAGUGGAAUUCCUGGUGUAGCGGUGAAAUGCGUAGAUAUCGGGAGGAACACCGGUGGUGUAGACGGCUCUCUGGACCGUAACUGACGCUGAGACACGAAAGCGUGGGUAGCAAACAGG